rnacentral:lncRNA from 1 species
AAUAGGCUGGGUUGAGGAAGAGAACAAUUCUUCUUCUUGUGGUUUACUCUGUCCCCUUCAGACCUCUAGAGAGGAAGCCCUGAUGUGACAGUGUACUAAAUGGAAAUCUUAUCACUAUGACUACAACAGCUGAUCAUAGUCUUUAAAAUGACUAUUAAGGACAAUAAUAAUACAAUCACACUUAACUGGUCUCUCUCUUCCCUUCCAGCAUCUCUUCUUUCAUUUAGUAUUGCAGGUUAUUGUAGACAUGCCUCAUUUUGCCUGCCUAUCUGUACAUUUUUGGCAGAGCUCCUUGCCCUGUCUCAUUUGUAUUUACAACCCUUCUUAUGAUCUAACUAAAGGCCUUGCACACUGACCCUUGGAAAAUGGUGGCAUACAAAAAAAAAUCUUAAGUGAAAGAGCAUAGGCUUUGGAUAAAUGGAAAGAAGUUUACUUUCUACCUCCAUGACUAAGUUGUGGGUCACCAAGGAAAAACUACUUAAACUCAGUGUAUCAGUUAGGACUGUGUUGGGCUUUAUCUUUAACAAAUAAGGCAUUUUAUUCUUCUCACUUGAAAAAAGCCACCCUUAAAGUAUGGAUUCCAUCCUCAUGUUGGUUGCCGUGCAAUCACAAGAUGGCUACUCUACUUCUAAAUUCAAGCAAGAAGAGGACAGUCAGUCCUUCUCACUAGGGCUAGAGCCACCUUUCCAAAAUUCAACUACUUCUUGUCGCUUCAUGGAUUCUCCACUUGAGAAGAAAGUCCAAACUCACGGCACUAAGGACCUUCUUGUGUACCUGUAUGUCUCAUUUUUCACUAUCUAAUGUUUUACUCUUCCCCCCAAAAUAACUCUGUAUUCUAUUCACGUGAACUAUUUACAAUCCUUACAACGUUUCUGUAGAGGAAUGUCCUGCUAAUGAUUUAACUUAGAUUUUUUCUUUGCUGAAAGGGGUAAUGGCAAGUCACUUUGAUCAUCUUUAGAAGAGUCAAGAAUCUUUAGACAUCAAGUAUAGUGCUCCCAAUCCAAAGAUAUAUGUGUGGCUAUAUAUACAUGCUCUGGAGAAGAUGAGGUGGCCAUGAGGAAGUAUGCAGCUGUCCUGAUUGUCCAGGAAAGGAUGGGUAAAAAGAACCUAUUUACAGGAUUGAAAAAGAAAAUCUGCCUGACCCUUCUUGGUAUGAGUGCUUAGGAAGGAAGAGGGAUCAGAAAUCCUAGGUCUGCAGGGGAUAAAUGCUUGGUUCACUCCUGACAUCAUGCUCCUGCAGUAGCUGUCAUCUCAAAGAAAAACUCUACAGGACCCAAAGACCCAAAGAUUAAGAGCUUUAAGCUUAGGUACCCCUCACUCCACUGAGGCUGGUUCUGAGGGGUGGAUCCUCCAAUUUCUAAGAUCUAUAGGAACAGGUUUCUGGUUCAUCAUCGUCUUUUGUGGACUGUGUAGGUCCACUUGUCAGCAGCGUCACCAAGUGGCUGCAAGAAGCACAAGCAAUAACGGACUGACCAAACCUCAGGCUCUUCACUCUUGGGUGUUAAAGUCAGAGCAAUGACCUCCUGUUGGACUGUGGAAGCCUUUGGAGUUUUAGCAAACUCAGAAAGAGGAGCUGCAAGAUGGAGAUACUAAAAGCUUGGCUAAUCUGCUGUGUAUGGACUGUUUUCUUUUGAGUAAAAAAUAAAUGUAAAUCCCCUCUCCCUUUGCCCAAUUUUGUGGAGCAAUUAAUAUCAGCUAUAUUUCUUUGACUUUUCAUCAUCUGGAAUGUUCCUCAUUCCCCUUGUCUUACUGUCACCUCAAGUGCCACUUCACUCAGAAGUCCUCCCUGCCUCACUGAGACUGAAGCAUCC